rnacentral:rRNA from 1 species
GAUGAACGCUGGCGGCGUGCCUAAUACAUGCAAGUCGAGCGAAUGGAUUAAGAGCUUGCUCUUAUGAAGUUAGCGGCGGACGGGUGAGUAACACGUGGGUAACCUGCCCAUAAGACUGGGAUAACUCCGGGAAACCGGGGCUAAUACCGGAUAACAUUUUGAACCGCAUGGUUCGAAAUUGAAAGGCGGCUUCGGCUGUCACUUAUGGAUGGACCCGCGUCGCAUUGGCUAGUUGGCGAGGUAACGGCUCACCAAGGCAACGAUGCGUAGCCGACCUGAGGGGGUGAUCGGCCACACUGGGACUGAGACACGGCCCAGACUCCUACGGGAGGCAGCAGUAGGGAAUCUCCCGCAAUGGACGAAAGUCUGACGGAGCAACGCCGCGUGGGUGAUGAAGGCUUUCGGGUCGUAAAACUCUGUUGUUAGGGAAGAACAAGUGCUAGUUGAAUAAGCUGGCACCUUGACGGUACCUAACCAGAAAGCCACGGCUAACUACGUGCCAGCAGCCGCCGUAA